rnacentral:rRNA from 1 species
UACGGAGGGUGCAAGCGUUAUCCGGAUUCACUGGGUUUAAAGGGUGCGUAGGCGGGCAGGUAAGUCCGUGGUGAAAUCUCUGAGCUUAACUCAGAAACUGCCAUGGAUACUAUUUGUCUUGAAUAUUGUGGAGGUGAGCGGAAUAUGUCAUGUAGCGGUGAAAUGCUUAGAUAUGACAUAGAACACCAAUUGCGAAGGCAGCUCACUACUCAAUUAUUGACGCUGAGGCACGAAAGCAUGGGGAGCGAACAGG